rnacentral:lncRNA from 1 species
AGUAUCCCCAGAGAACCGGGAUUCUCCUGCAACAAGGUGCCAUGCGCCCCCUGAUCUCACUGGGGCUCCCAAUCCCUCUGUCUAUGGGGCUCGAGCAUAGCUUGAACCUUUGGACCGGAACCAAGAUGGCGGCCGGGCUUGGGUUGCUCAGGAUGAGGGAACAUUAAGAAAAUGCGUGCUCUCACCCAAGCCGCCUGCUCUUUCCCACAGGGGACACAAAUGAUCUUCAAUGCCGCCAAGGAGCUGGGCCAGCUGUCCAAACUGAAGGAUCACAUGGUGCGAGAAGAAGCCAAGAGCUUGACCCCGAAGCAGUGUGCCGUGGUUGAACUGGCCCUGGACACCAUCAAGCAAUACUUCCACGCGGGGGGCGUGGGCCUCA